CCAUGAGACAUCCCCUCAGCCUGCUCUGCUCUGGGCUGGACAAAGCAAGAUGGUGUUCUGGGCUGUAAAUCAGGAAUGAGCAAUCUGAGGGAUGCUCUGAGGAAAGCUGUAUGGGAGCUGCUGGGAACCAGCAUGUCAGGAUCAGAGUAAAGUUUUCAUGGGAAAAUCCAGAGUGGCUGGAAUAAGGCAGGCAAGAAGUUACUUUAACAGGCAUCAAAAGAGGCAGCAUAAAGACAAAAUUCAGCAGAAGCAAGAAACACCGGCUGCUAUGGAAAGACAUCUCCAGAAACACAGAAAGGAACCUGCUUGAUGAAGUUAGGCAGUGCAACACGUGCUAAGGGCUGCACGCUGGGUGAGGCAUACAAACUGUCAUGGUACACACACUCAAGAACAUAGAAGAUGCGAGAGACAGACUGCAUGGACUCACACACAAGCUUAGAUAUCUUUAAAUGGGGCUCAACCAGGCUUCAGUGGGACUCAUCAGGCGCUAAAUUGGGUGAACUAGACAGCCUUCUCUAAUUGUGAGUAAUCCACAUAGACCAAAGCUGACCUGCACAACAACUCUUAGAGGAGAGUUUUCCACCUGUCUCCACUGAUACUGUUUAAUGAAGAAGGAAUUGCCUCUGACCACUUUUUAAGUGAGCUAGAACAAGCAGAUUUGGAUCAAGGUUGACAUCUCAUUGUACUUAGUAUCAUUCAAACACUGUCUCAAAGCAUACAACUCUCCAUUUAAGACUGAAUAUGCAUGCGUAGAACACACAGAAGGAUCACAAAAUGCGUGGAGAACCUGCAACACGACUGAGGUCAGGAAUGAGAGUCUGUCUUUCAGCCACUGAUGUGACGUGAGGGGACAUCUGCCAGCUCAGGAGGGAGUCUGAAGCCCAAGAAGAUAAUUGAAGCAGUAAUAAAAUCUCAUUCAGGACUCAUUUUAGGCAGAAGGCAACACCCCAAAUAAGAACCCCUGGCCGUGGACCUGGGACAGCAGCAAUCUUGUUUUCUCUGCAGAACAGAGUCAUGGGAUUCCACAGCCACUGAGGCUCAGCAUUUAGAACUCAUCCAGUUUUCCACAUAGUUGCCAGACUUUACCUGGAGAUACAAUACCACUGCAUGGAGAGGACUCUACACAUCAACUGCUGGCCCCUCAAGCAAGCAACACCUAUUACAAUGCUCAUGGUGUUACUAUGGAUUAAAAAGCAGAGGAGAGUACGACAGGGUGAAGUUGGAGUCCUACUAUGUGUUAUCAUUUAAAAGCAGAAAAUGUAUUGCUUUUUUUUUUCUGGUAGUAUUUGAAUCAGAGUACUGCAUGUUAUUACCCUACAAACUACCCUGCUGUUCUUUCUGUUGUUGUAAAAUGAAAUUGGAACCCAUGGAGUAGAGGUCCAAUUUAGCUCACCGUGGUUAAGUGCAUUUAACCUGACAUGUGUCCUCAGAUCUUCUGGUGAAAGUAAUUAUGAAAGUGAACUACAUGGUAAUAUAUGAUAACAAGUGCUUAUUUUCCUGCUCAGUUCAUUGGAACUCUAGUCGGGGAAUAUGGGGUGCCAUUGUAAUAUAAAUAUCUUGCUGUUGUUUUGUUGCUGCUAAUAAUAACAACAAAUGUCCACUAUUAAUGCUAUUAAAACUAUUUAAUACUUUGCAGUAUGCUUUGCGAAUAAAUAGUAUGUGAUGGAAAAGAAAUGCCUUUAUGUUCAUCUAUUGCUAACAGGACUUGUAGAUUGUGUUGUCUGAAAUACACUUUUCAUAAAAUAUAUAUAUAUAUAUAUCUAAUUUGUUUUACCAUGAAGGACAAGACUAGUAACAGUAGAUAGACUAAAUGAGAGCAAUUAGUGGUAUUGCACAGAUAUCCAUUACAGCCCAGCUAGCAGUAGCAUGUUGUAUCCUGUUUGAUGAGAACUCAGCACAGUGGUAUUUGCUAAUGUUAUUACUUCUACAUUCAAAAGAAAGUGAAAUGGGUCAAGAUUCAGGAACUGUAACCAUAGUAAUGAGUAGCAGGAUUCCAGUGUUUAAAGGAGAACUGUUAAUUUUUUAAGGAGAAAAAGAAAGAAAGAAAAUAAAAACAACAGGGAGAUAGGUGUAAAAAGAACAUAAAGGAAUAUAACCUGACAAUAAUGCCAAAGAGCCCAAAUCUGAUCCUGCUGAAAUUAUCUCAACUCCUACUGAUUUACUGGAAAGAAGAUUGGAGUUCAGCCUAGCAACUAAUAACAGUUCCUAUGAAUUGAAGUUGCUGGAGAGGACACUCCUGUGCUUGAAGAUCCAAAGAGUCCCAGCCAGGAUAUGAAUCUCCUUUCCCAGUCUUGGACUUUCUGUGUGCCCAAACAGAAGGACAUGCGCUACAUUCUAAACAGUUAAAGACAGCCUUUGCCAAAUGCAAUAAAAGCUGUUUGCAGAU
rnacentral:lncRNA from 7 species